CCUACGGGUGGCAGCAGUGAGGAAUAUUGGUCAAUGGGCGCGAGCCUGAACCAGCCAAGUCGCGUGAGGGAUGAAGGUUCUAUGGAUCGUAAACCUCUUUUAUAAGGGAAUAAAGUGUGGGACGUGUCCGUUUUUGUAUGUACCGUAUGAAUAAGGAUCGGCUAACUCCGUGCCAGCAGCCGCGGUAAUACGGAGGAUCCGAGCGUUAUCCGGAUUUAUUGGGUUUAACGGGUGCGUAGGCGGCCUUUUAAGUCAGCGGUGAAAUUCUGUGGCUCAACCAGAGAAUUGCCGUUGAUACUGGGGGGCUUGAGUAUGUUUGAGGCAGGCGGAAUGCGUGGUGUAGCGGUGAAAUGCUUAGAGAUCACGCAGAACCCCGAUUGCGAAGGCAGCCUGCCAAGCCAUGUCUGACGUUGAUGCACGAAAGCGUGGGGAUCAAACAGGAUUAGAUACCCGUGUAGUC
rnacentral:rRNA from 1 species